rnacentral:rRNA from 1 species
AUUGAACGCUGGCGGCAGGCCUAACACAUGCAAGUCGAACGGUAACAGGAAGAAGCUUGCUUCUUUGCUGACGAGUGGCGGACGGGUGAGUAAUGUCUGGGAAACUGCCUGAUGGAGGGGGAUAACUACUGGAAACGGUAGCUAAUACCGCAUAACGUCGCAAGACCAAAGAGGGGGACCUUCGGGCCUCUUGCCAUCGGAUGUGCCCAGAUGGGAUUAGCUAGUAGGUGGGGUAACGGCUCACCUAGGCGACGAUCCCUAGCUGGUCUGAGAGGAUGACCAGCCACACUGGAACUGAGACACGGUCCAGACUCCUAAGGGAGGCAGCAGUGGGGAAUAUUGCACAAUGGGCGCAAGCCUGAUGCAGCCAUGCCGCGUGUAUGAAGAAGGCCUUCGGGUUGUAAAGUACUUUCAGCGGGGAGGAAGGGAGUAAAGUUAAUACCUUUACUCAUUGACGUUACCCGCAGAAGAAGCACCGGCUAACUCCGUG